GACGAACGCUGGCGGCGUGCUUAACACAUGCAAGUCGAACGGAAAGGCCCUGCUUUUGGGGGGUGCGCGAGCGGCGAACGGGUGAGUAACAAGUGAGUAACCUGCCCUUGACUUUGGGAUAACUUCAGGAAACUGGGGCUAAUAACGGAUAGGAGCUCCUGCUGCAGGGUGGGGGGUGGAAAGUUUCGGCGGUUGGGGAUGGACGCGCGGCUUAUCAGCUUGUUGGUGGGGUAGUGGCUUACCAAGGCUUUGACGGGUAGCCGGCCUGAGAGGGUGACCGGCCACAUUGGGCCUGAGAUACGGCCCAGACUCCUACGGGAGGCAGCAGUGGGGAAUAUUGCACAAUGGGCGGAAGCCUGAUGCAGAAGCGCCGCGUGCGGGAUGACGGCCUUCGGGUUGUAAACCGCUUUCGCCUGUGACGAAGCGUGAGUGACGGUAAUGGGUAAAGAAGCACCGGCUAACUACGUG
rnacentral:rRNA from 1 species